rnacentral:rRNA from 1 species
GAUGAACGCUGGCGGCGUGCCUAAUACAUGCAAGUCGAGCGAACAGAUAAGGAGCUUGCUCCUUUGACGUUAGCGGCGGACGGGUGAGUAACACGUGGGUAACCUACCUAUAAGACUGGAAUAACUCCGGGAAACCGGGGCUAAUGCCGGAUAACAUUUAGAACCGCAUGGUUCUAAAGUGAAAGAUGGUUUUGCUAUCACUUAUAGAUGGACCCGCGCCGUAUUAGCUAGUUGGUAAGGUAACGGCUUACCAAGGCAACGAUACGUAGCCGACCUGAGAGGGUGAUCGGCCACACUGGAACUGAGACACGGUCCAGACUCCUACGGGAGGCAGCAGUAGGGAAUCUUCCGCAAUGGGCGAAAGCCUGACGGAGCAACGCCGCGUGAGUGAUGAAGGUCUUCGGAUCGUAAAACUCUGUUAUUAGGGAAGAACAAAUGUGUAAGUAACUGUGCACUUCUUGACGGUACCUAAUCAGAAAGCCACGGCUAACUACGUG